UUAAGUAUACAGUUCAGUAGUGUUAAGUAUAAUAUGUUCACAUUGUUAUGAAUCAGUUCUUCAGAACAUUUUUAUCUUGUAAAACUGAAACUGUAUACCUAUUAAACAGCAACUCCCCACUCCAUAUCUCCCUACCCCCUCCUUGGUAGCCACCAUUCUACUUCAUGUUUCAGUAAAUUUGAAUACUGUAGAUAAUUUAUAUAAGCGGAAUUUGUUUUUUUGUGACUAGCUUAUUUCACUUAGCAUAAUGUCCUCAAGGUUAAUCUAUUUUGUGCUAUAUAUCAGAAUUUCUUCCUUUAAAAAGGCUGAAUAAUAUUUCAUUGUAUGUAUAUAUCACAUGUUGUCUAUUUCUUCAUCCAUCCAGGGACACAUGUAUUGUUUCUGCCUUUUUGUUAGUGAAUAAUGCUGCCAUGAACAUGGAUGUACAAAUAUCUCUUUAAGACCCUGCUUUCAAUUCUUUGAGGCUGGUCACAGGAUGGCCUCAGCGAUUCUUUCUGGUGACACUCUCUUUGGAGAGGAAACUUCUCCUGGAGGUCCCUCGGCCGAUGGCCGCUCACAUUCCACUGGAUUAUAAAAUGAGCAACUCACUUCAAGCAAAGAGCUGUGACAAGAAUCCUGAAGACCCUCAGAACUCCCAUCAAGUUAACACUACACACUAUAUUAGCACCAGUACAGGUGAUUUUCAUCCUUUUCAAAUUCUUUUCUUCCAGAACACCUGAGGAUUACAGAGCCAACACUUCUACUUAAAAGACCACAUUAAAAAAAACCAACAAAAAAACAACUGUAGUCAAGGCAAGAAAACAGUAUCUUUAUUGUGUGUAGUUCUAACAAACAUUCAUUGUGUGCACAUUCCAACAGAAAGAGACAAAGAUCUUUGUUCAAAAUAUGCUGAAAUAAAAUAGGUAAACAAACUCCAUUAUUGAAUAGCAAAAGGAAUGUUAAUAUUACUAGAUCACAGUUGAGGGUGAAGUAAAAAGAACAGAAGUUAAAUACUUGAAAUAGUGUUUUGCCCAAAUAGCAAAUAUUUGAUGCAGGCGUGGGCAAAGAGCAGCUACUAAAACUUAUGAGUAAGA